ACUUAAGUAGUUUAAAGAACGUUGUGCUGAAGACACAAGGGAAAAUUUUUGUUUCUUAAGUA
rnacentral:tRNA from 1 species